UGGCAUCCAAUCAGGAUUGAGGCUGUUGUGGGCGGGUCCGAUAAAAGCAACAGCCAAUGACAGUACAGGAGCGAAGUUAAGCGUGAGAAAGCCAGUCCAAAGAAAGCCGCUCUUCAGUCUCAGCAGGGGUCGGAGAAAUUGCGGUCAGAAAGCCAGUAUGGAAAAUUCUGACAGCUGUCAGGAAGGAGGUUAUUGAAUUCACUGGAGAACGAGUGCUGUCCUAAAUUUGAAUUCAUCAAGUUCCUCCUUACCUGUGUCAUCUGUGAGAGAAAUGUUGGUGAAGGUGCUGUCCUCCUCUUCCUCUUUGCUGGACCCGUCCAUCUUGUUUGCUUCCCGGCCUGUUAGUGAGAAUAAUGAGGGCAGGGAAAACGGCUGCUCUCCCUUGUGAUCACCCUUGUUGAAUCAUUAAUAAAUGAGCAUUCACGCAGGUGGUAUCUGAUCCUUGCACAAGCCACCUUCUUCCUGCUUUCCGCCUGAGAGGUU